UGUUAAAAAUUUCAUCCAUUUCUACUGUUAAAAACUGAUGUAAUUGACGAAAUAGCCAGAAAGUUACACAUGACAUGAUACAUAUAUGAUAUACCUCAUGUUAACGUACAUGGAUUAAUUUUAACAGUAGAAAUUGAUGAAAUAUCUAAUA
rfam:Gossypium raimondii Chr08_contig_1295, whole genome shotgun sequence.